ensembl:misc_RNA 7SK 7SK RNA
GGAAGUAAGGGCAAUUUGGCUGUGACAACUGUUACCCCAUUGAUCACCAGGCUAAUUCUGCUGGUCUAGCUGGCUAUAUGAGUGUCCCCUUCUCCCCUUACUGUUAUAUAUGGAUCCUCCUGAAGCUGUGCACUCAGUCAAAGAGAAUGACAUUCUCAGACAGAAUAAUAUUCUUCAGUCAAGAAUUUGCAAGUAGCUUCCCUCCUCUACUAAAUAAGCUCCAAAGUUCUAUACUUACCUUGUCAUGGGUGGCAACAAAAAUGCAUGGCAGGCACUAGUCCAU